AACAAACAACAGAGAAAAAAGAAAACAAAAGAAGAACCCAAACAAACAACUAGCACCUCCUCUUUUCCUUUCUCUUUCUCUUUCUCUUUCUCUUUCUCU
rnacentral:ribozyme from 1 species